rnacentral:rRNA from 1 species
UACGUAGGGUGCGAGCGUUGUCCGGAAUUACUGGGCGUAAAGAGCUCGUAGGCGGCUUGUCGCGUCGACUGUGAAAACUCGGGCUCAACUCCGAGCUUGCAGUCGAUACGGGCAGGCUAGAGUUCGGUAGGGGAGACUGGAAUUCCUGGUGUAGCGGUGAAAUGCGCAGAUAUCAGGAGGAACACCGAUGGCGAAGGCAGGUCUCUGGGCCGAUACUGACGCUGAGGAGCGAAAGCGUGGGGAGCGAACAGG